UCUCUCCCCCUAAUGUCCAACCUCUUCCUCUUUUCUCUUUUGGCUUCCUGGCCACUAGAAGGUGAGGGCUUCCUCUGCCACCUACUCUCACCAUGUUGUAGUGCCUCCCCACAGUCCCAAGAGUAACAGAUCAACUGACCAUGGAUUGAAGCCUGUGAAACCGCGUGCCAAAAACUAGCCACUGCACCAGGAAGAUAAACCAGGGCAAGACGAGAAAACACAGUGCUGUCCUGAUAAACGGCUCUAAAUCCCUCCUAUCCAGGCUGAGGUGUUUCUGCUACCUUGUGACUUCCAGGAAAACAUUUUCAUGCAAUUAACAUUCCUCACCACCAAAAGCACUUUACAGUUGGCAAAGCACCUCCAACAUGUUGUCCUGGAGCCACGCUGUCCAAUAGAAACAGAAGAUGAACUUCACGAGCAACUUUAAGACUUUUUUGUUAAACGAGAGGAAGGGUGGGGAGAUGGGUGGGAUUGAUUCCAUGAAGAUAUUUGGUUUGGCCCAACUGUGAUAGGCAGCGGGAAGACCUCCCUCUAGAUGCUCAAAGCCUGAAAAUGUUUUCUGUUACUUGACAAAGGAGAAUGGAGACUGCAGAGGGAACCAAGGGUCUCAGGCAGCUGACUCAAUGUCAUCUGCAGGGCCCCUCCGUGUGGAAGAGGGGGCCCAGGUCAGAGAAGGUCGGAAUGAGGCCGGGCAGGAGGGAUCGCACAGGGCUCGCUGGCUUCGGAAACAGAAGAUGGGCCGAGGAGGGCUGGAAGGUUCUAGAAGCCGGCAAAGCCAGGCCAGGGCUGCUGAGGCGGCUGGUCAGAGAGGAUCGCAGACACCUCCACCUCAACCCGGUGAGACCCGCGCUGGAAUCGGGACACACGGAACUGUGAGAUAAUAGAUGUGUGUUGUUUUAAGCCACCUACUUUACAGCAAUUUGUUAAAGCCGUGAUAGAAAAACGAACACACUGGUAUACCAAAUAUUAUCAUUUCAACGUGCAAUCAAUAUGACAAAUUAUUAACGAAAUCUAUUACAGUCUCCCUUUUUGCUACUAAGUCUCUGAAGUCUGGCAUGUAUUUUACACUGACCACAUGUUUUACUUUGGCUUAGUCACAUUUCUAGGGUUGGCCACAUGUGGCCAGAGGCUAUCAUUUUGGACAAGGCAGUCUCAGCUGGGGCCAACAUAGGGCAUACACAAAAUUAUAUAUUUGCAUUACAUUUCUGUUAAAAGUUCUGAUCAUUUAUUGGUCUGACAUAUGUUGUUCAGCCUUAACUUCAGCCCUUAGAUCUGAGGGGGUCUGUCACUGAAAGUUGGCUAGGUUGUUCACUGUAUAAGAAGAGAAAGCUUGGGUGAGGUGAGGUGGGAGAAGGAGACCUCAAAAAUAUCCCAGGCCUCCACCAUGAAACCCUGUGUCCCGGAGACUUUACCCGGCCCCUACAAAAGCACAAUUAUGUCAUAUUUAUUCCAAGUCUAGGCAAUAAAAGAAAUAAAUUAUUAGCCUUGUGUAGCUUUUGAUUUCCUUCAGCCCAUUCCUUUCUGGCCACACCAUUGACAAAGAACUGUGAGUUAAGCUGCUACUCU